rnacentral:rRNA from 1 species
GGCCACUGCUAUUGGGAUCCGACUAAGCCAUGCGAGUCGAGAGGGUUCGGCCCUCGGCAGACUGCUCAGUAACACGUGGAUAACCUAACCUUAGGUGGAAGAUAACCUCGGGAAACUGAGAAUAAUAUUCCAUAGAUCUAGGAUGCUGGAAUGCAUCUAGAUUGAAAGUUCCGACGCCUAAGGAUGGGUCUGCGGACUAUCAGGUUGUAGUCAGGGUAAAGACCUGACUAGCCUACGACGGAUAUGGGUUGUGAGAGCAAUAGCCCAGAGACGAUAUCUGAGACACGAUAUCGGGCCCUACGGGGCGCAGCAGGCGCGAAAUCUUCACAAUGUGCGAAAGCACGAUGAGGGGAUCCCAAGUGCUGGCACGUAAGUGUCAGCUGUUUCUUAGUCUAAAAAACUGAGAGAGUAAGGGCUGGGUAAGACGGGUGCCAGCCGCCGCGGUAAUACCUGCAGCUCAAGUGGUGGCCGCUAUAUUGGGUCUAAAACGUCCGUAGCCUGUUUAGUAAAUGCUUGGGUAAAUUGUGUAGCUUAACUAUACGAAUACCGGGUAGACUGCUAAACUUGGGACCGGGAGAGGCUAGAGGUACUCCUGGGGUAGAGGUGAAAUUCUGUAAUCCUAGGGGGACCACCAGUGGCGAAGGCGUCUAGCUAGAACGGGUCUGACGGUGAGGGACGAAGCCCUGGGGCGCAAACCGGAUUAGAUACCCGGGUAGUCCAGGGUGUAAACGCUGCUUGCUUGAUGUUAGUUGGGCUCCGAGCCCAACUAGUGUCGGAGAGAAGUUGUUAAGCAAGCUGCCUGGGAAGUACGGUCGCAAGACUGAAACUUAAAGGAAUUGGCGGGGGAGCACCACAAGGGGUGAAGCCUGCGGUUCA